UACGUAGGCAGCGAGCGUUGUUCGGAGUUACUGGGCGUAAAGGGUGCGUAGGCGGUUGUUUAAGUUGGGUGUGAAAUCCCUCGGCUCAACCGAGGAACUGCGCCCAAAACUGUCGUGCUCGAGGGAGACAGAGGUGAGCGGAACUUAGGGUGGAGCGGUGAAAUGCGUUGAUAUCCUAAGGAACACCGGUGGCGAAAGCGGCUCACUGGGUCUCUUCUGACGCUGAGGCACGAAAGCUAGGGUAGCGAACGGG
rnacentral:rRNA from 1 species